rnacentral:rRNA from 1 species
AAACCGUUGAAAGGGAAGCGAAUGGAGUUAGCAAUUCGUCUGUCAGAUUCAGUUGCACACGCGUCGCAACGUGCGCGCUCUCGAUCCGAACGGACGAGUCGUGUGCGGAUGCGACGUGCGAGCGGCGCACUUCUGGCCGGCGAGCGUCAGCGUCGGUUGCCGUCGAGCGAUAAGGUUGCAGGGAAGGUAGACGGGUCCUCGUGGCUCGUUGUUAAGCCUUGCUAUCGCAUGGUUCGACGACGACCGUGGCACUGCGACGUGUGCUUGGCUGGCGACUCGUCGUCUCGGUCCAACAUGUCGACCGUGGUGGACGGCACGCCUGUGCACUCGAACCGCUGUUGGUCGCGACGACGAUGCUCGCACACUACGCGUCAAGGAUGCUGACGAUCAUACGGCUCCAUCCGACCCGUCUUGAAACACGGACCAAGGAGUCUAACAUGUGCGCGAGUCUCCGGGUGAUCGAAACCCGUGGGCACAAUGAAAGUAAAGACAGUCCCAGACUGUUGAGGUGAGAAGCCCCAAAAGGGCCGCAUCAUCGACCGACCUAUUCUGCUCUCAGAAAGGUUUGAGUAAGAGCGUAUCUGUUGGGACCCGAAAGAUGGUGAACUAUGCCUGAAUAGGGUGAAGCCAGCGGAAACACUGGUGGAAGCUCGUAGCGAUUCUGACGUGCAAAUCGAUCGUCGAAUUUGGGUAUAGCGGCGAAAGACUAAUCGAACCAUCUAGUAGCUGGUUCCCUCCGAAG